rnacentral:tRNA from 1 species
GGACAGUAGCUUAGUGGUAGAGCACUUGCCUGUCACAUGGGAGGCACUGGGGUCGAUCCUCAGCACCA